rnacentral:rRNA from 1 species
CAGAUUGAACGCUGGCGGAAUGCUUUACACAUGCAAGUCGAACGGUAGAGGGGGCAACCCUUGAGAGUGGCGAACGGGUGAGUAAUAUAUCGGAACGUGCCCAGUCGUGGGGGAUAACGUAGCGAAAGUUACGCUAAUACCGCAUACGAUCUAAGGAUGAAAGCGGGGGAUCGCAAGACCUCGCGCGAUUGGAGCGGCCGAUAUCAGAUUAGGUAGUUGGUGAGGUAAAGGCUCACCAAGCCGACGAUCUGUAGCUGGUCUGAGAGGACGACCAGCCACACUGGGACUGAGACACGGCCCAGACUCCUACGGGAGGCAGCAGUGGGGAAUUUUGGACAAUGGGCGCAAGCCUGAUCCAGCAAUGCCGCGUGCAGGAUGAAGGCCUUCGGGUUGUAAACUGCUUUUGUACGGAACGAAACGGUGAGCUCUAAUACAGUUUGCUAAUGACGGUACCGUAAGAAUAAGCACCGGCUAACUACGUG